AAAGGAAAACGAAACUGGUUUUCACAAUGAUUUGCCAGAUAGUUUUUGUUAUUCUGAGAUCAUUGUGAAAGCUGAUUUUGUUAUGGAACUCCA
rnacentral:pre_miRNA from 16 species